AGCGCAACCCAGACAAUUACGAGGCAGCUCUUGGACACCUACAAGCAGAAGGCAUCAGAGACGUCAAAGGAAUUAAGAAAUGGCUUUUCUACACGAUUCCAUCCGUGAGGUCCUGCCUGACCUAUUUGAUGUGGCAAAAGACAUGUUAGUGGAAACACUGUUAGCACAGGGGGUAGAGACAUACUCUGACUUGCAGUAUGUAACAGAGGCAGAUUUAUUGUCAGCGCUAAGACCCAUUCAAGCACGGAAAGCUGUGGCUGCAUGGAAGGUAAAAUGCCAGGAUACUACCCAGGAUAGCAACAGUUCAUUCAGCAUCCAGGAAGGUGCUUCAUCUCUUCCCUCAGUCUCACCAGGACCUUCUUCAUCCUCUCAGUCUCUCUCACCAAUAUCAACCUCUUGCAGUGCCUCUCACAGCCCAGAUGUUGACUGGGCAGAUACUUUUGACAUUCCAUGGAAGAAGUUUCCAGAAGAAUUGAUCCAGUCCUUAGAGAGAGGGAAGCGUCCAAGUCCACAGAAGAGGAGGGAGAUGGUGAGGAUUGUGGUACGGGAAAUGAUGCAGAAGUCACCAGACAUAAGUAAAAGGCACAGCACUAUUGUGGCCAAAAAAUAGUGGCUACAUAUCCCAAAUCACUGCAGGAUGUAAUUGAAGGGGACAUAAUUGGGUCAGGGUACCAUUCCCUCGUAAAACAGCUCCAAAAUAGAAUUGAAAAUGCAAAACGCUCCACAACACCAAAAAGAAGAAAAAGAAAACUGCACGCAGAGUCUGACACGGAUGAAAUGCCUGCUGAAAAAAGAGCUCCAAUCCAGGAGACCUAUGGUUGCAUCAAAUGGGAAAUGAAGUUCAUGCCCCUUGGGGAGACUGCAGAGAGCCAACAGCAGAGCAGAGACAAACUGAAAAGCCUGUCUAAACAAAAUGCCCCAAACCAGGAUGUGGUUAAACAGCUCACCAGGUCGACAUUCUACACCCAACGCAAAGAGGUCAACAACGGGAAAGAAAUCAAAUACUUAUUGGAAGACUGGCCAUUUUUGUUUGAUGAGAUAGGCAUGGCUGUUCACUUUGAAGAGCUCACUGGAGUUAGUCUGAAAGAGACAUUUGUUAGGAAUUUGGACCUAAAGGGGGAACGACUCUUAAAUUACUUGGAAACAGUUGCUGUGAACAAGUCAAAGAGGCUAGUCCAAUCUUUUACAAACAUUCAGCUGAUGAGGAGAGAGCACACAGGGCCCUCAGGCGAUGUGUUGGAGAUGGUGUUGCUCCUGUUGUCUUACUUCGACGAGAAGGAAGACGUGAUGUUCACAUACGUGGAAGACACAUGCCUGGCGGAGGAGGUGCAGAUGGACCAAGUUCCCUUGACACCAACCAUUGUUGUCUGUGGUAAGUUGACCAUGUGUUCUCUCACACAGGCAUACACAUGCCAAACUGUGUCUUUGAAACUGUUAGAGUGUAUCUGUGUAUUUUAUCAUAUUAUUAUCCUCCUAUAUGUGUACGUGCAACCCUUAACAACUAACCCAUGGCCCAGAAAGGGUUGCAGACAAGAUGUCCUCACAGGGGCCUACCAGAUUGUGACGCAGGAAUAAGAGACCUUGAGAAAGGAAACAGAUUCUGUCAACAUAGCAGGGGGCCCACCUUGAGAUAUGUAAUGCUUUGUAUUAACCCUGUUUCACGGAGGCCUCACACAGCAUUGACUAGUUAAAGACAAGACCCAUGUAACCCCUCCCCUACCCUAUAAAUAAAGAAGCCAAGGGACUGUCCGGUGUGACACUCAACAGAGGCGCAGAUACUGUCUGUUGCACCUGAAGUGGGCACCCUUGCGCAAGUAAAACAGAAAGACGUGUGCUGUCUCGAUUAUUCCUGGGUCCUAUAAGUGGAAGUGUGUGAGUGGUAAGCUGCGGCGCUUCCUCACACAGGAGAUUGUAGGAGUGAAAGCUACGGCGCUUUCUCCAACAUAACUAGAUUGUAGGAGUGAAAGCUACGGCGCUUUCUCCUAACAUAAAUUGGUCCUUCGAGCCGGAUCCGGAGAGAGAUACCAGAGGGCGCCGACCAGUCCGCCGACGAACGACACCGAAAGCUGUCGACAGUCUCGCUCAUAGGGAGUGAGUGAAAGACCUGCGACGUGAAUUCGCCACAGGCCGGUGGUUAGAACCGUUCCCUGACGGCUGGGCUGGCGCCUGACGGGUCCCCGGACAAGAACUAGAACCACUUCGUCAUAAAGGAAGGACCAGGUGAGAAGCACGACGCUGCAGCAGGGAAAGCGGGUGUGAGUGAGAGGGCAUUAGUGGCCCCAUACACCCGACCUAGGUGCAACAACAUACUGGUGACCAAGGGAAAAAGGACGGGUUUCAUCCCUGAAAACUGACACCGCUGUCUCUUUAGAGGACAGUAGAAGGCCGUGCCAGUGUCCUCCCGAGGUCUCAUGCCAGGGACUUGCACUUAGGGGUUAUUAUUUUUUGUAUAUACAAUAAUGGGACAGAGUCAAAGCAAGGUAGAAUUGGCGGGUGAUGAGAAAUUCAUGGAAAAAUAUAAGGAGGGGGCAGGAAUAAUAAGCAACCAAAAGUGGCGAAAAAAGCAUGGGUUUUCAGGAACUCUGAAU